AAACUAACCAGGAUUCCCCUAGUAGCGGCGAGCGAAGCGGGAAGAGCUCAAAUUUGUAAUCUGGCACUUUCAGUGUCCGAGUUGUAAUCUCGAGAAGUGUUUUCCGCGCCGGACUGCAUACAAGUCUGUUGGAAUACAGCGUCAUAGUGGUGAGAACCCCGUAGAUGAUGCAGACGCCCGGUGCUCUGUGAUACACUUUCGAAGAGUCGAGUUGUUUGGGAAUGCAGCUCAAAGUGGGUGGUAAAUUCCAUCUAAAGCUAAAUAUUGGCGAGAGACCGAUAGCGAACAAGUACCGUGAGGGAAAGAUGAAAAGCACUUUGGAAAGAGAGUUAACAGUACGUGAAAUUGUUGGAAGGGAAACGAUUGAAGUCAGACUUGCGAGCUGGAGUUCAGCCGAAAGGUGUACUCUCCAGCCAGCAGGCCAGCAUCAGUUUCCCGGGUUGGAAAAUCGCACGGGGAAGGUAGCAGCCUAGCUGUGUUAUAGCCCUGUGCUGGAUUCAACUUGGGGGACUGAGGAACGCAGCGUGCUUUUAGCAGUAGUCUCGACUACUUCACGCUUAGGAUGCUGGUGGAAUGGCUUUAAACGAC
rnacentral:rRNA from 1 species